UACGAAGGGGGCUAGCGUUGCUCGGAAUCACUGGGCGUAAAGGGUGCGUAGGCGGGUCUUUUAAGUCAGGGGUGAAAUCCUGGAGCUCAACUCCAGAACUGCCCUUUGAUACUGAGGAUCUUGAGUUCGGGAGAGGUGAGUGGAACUGCGAGUGUAGAGGUGAAAUUUCGUAGAUAUUCGCAAGAACACCAGUGGCGAAGGCGGCUCACUGGCCCGAUACUGACGCUGAGGCACGAAAAGCGUGGGGAGCAAACAGG
rnacentral:rRNA from 1 species